CACCCGCCGCCAUUUUGUGGUGACUGAGGGGAGGCGGGGAAAUGGCGGCAGGGGGCUGACCCCUGAGCUUGUGGCUCUGAACCACCUUUAUGCGAGGGACAGGGGACAGCCUCUAAUGUAGAACUACCAGAUCUCGAUAAAUGGGCGAAAAAUAGAAUCACAGAAUGGUUUGAGUUGGAAUGAACCUUAAAGAUCAUCUUGUUCUAGCCCAUGGGCAGAGACACCUUUCACUAACCCAGGUUGCUCCAACUUGUCCUUGGAGGGCCACAGCUUCUCUGGGCAACCUGUGCCAGGGCCUCACCACCCUCCUAGCCAAGAAUUUUUUCCUACUACCCUAUCUAAUACUACUGUCUUUUGGUCUGAAUUAUUCCCCCUCAUCCUGUCACUCCAUGGUCUUUUAAAGAAGUCUCUCUCCAUGAUUGAUAGAUGCUGAUGAUCUAUGUAGUCUCACUAACUUUAAUGAAUAUAUUGCAGAUUACUUAAAUUACACUUCAAAGAAACUUUGACAAUAUGAGGGUAAAAAAACCCCUCCACCCUCAGCACCCUUCAUGUUUGUCAAAGGAAUAAUAAACACCCACAAAGUUAUUUCCAAAAUUGAUGGUCUCCAUCUGUAUGUUUUACACGCAGUAUCAAAAAACCCCCAACAAAAUCUGUUUUUUUUCUUUAUUUUAGGAAAUGAAUUUUGUCGCUUCAGUAAAUGAAAUGGAUGCUGCCACCUCAGUGUUGCAAGGAAACAAAUUUUUUCAUAGCCUUUCUGCAUAGUUUUGUGCUAAGGGAGGAUAGAAAACCAGAAUCUUCAUGCUCACCAACAUAAGACAUUUAUAAAAGCAGACUGAAAGAACUUCAAGAAGUGUGGCUUAAUUAGAUUUUAUUUAGAAAGUCUGUUUUGGAAAACAGUCACUGCGAACAGUAAGGAGUAAUUAUUACAGAUUACAUUGGGAGGCAAAGUCUAUUAAAGCAGAAGACACAAAAGCAAGAUUAAAGAGGAGUUUUUAAAAUAUUUAAAGUGUAUCAAAUGAAAUUAUUCACAUAAAGUGGAACUAAGUAAAAAGAUAGGUUUAAUUUCCAGCAAUGAUUUCAUUUAUAAAUUGCAAAACUGUAAUAUGAAUGAAUUUGCACUAGGUGAACUUGUGAGGUUUGUAAUGCUGGCCUCUCCUUAUGGAAGCAAAAUCAACACUUUAUUCAGAUAUCUGCUUGUUCUGGCAUUGUUGUAGCAUCUGCUAAAAAAGUCUUGUAUAGAUUUCAGUCUUCUUCAGAAGAAGGAGUUGCUCUAGAGCUGAAGAAAUUUGUGUGAACACUCAUAUCUGUUCUCCUUCAAAGCAUAAACUGAUACAAAGAAUGCUAGUCCAGGUGUGCGAGAAAGCUAUGCAGGAAGAGUUGAGAGUAACAGAUUCAGCUGGCAUCGAUUGGUUUUUGUCAGAGAAAUGAAAGAUAAUAUCUUCCAAAAUGUUAGAAAUAUGAGAUACAGUAGGUAUAAUGAGGAUAAUCAGGUAGCAGGGCAGAUUAUUACAGGAGAUGGUAAAUGCUGUACUGGCUGCCUUUGUAAAAAGAGUGUCUAACUCACAAAUCGUGGGACUCACAGAAGGAGUCACUGGGUGAAAUUCCCUGCCCUGUGUCAUGGGUAGGGUCAGAAUGGGUGAUUACAGUGGUAUCUUUUAAAUCUAUGAAUCUUUAGGCUAUUAUUUAAUGUACAUCUUUUUAUAUCUACAAUCCUUAUUUCCUAUAAAAACCCCCUGUUACUGUAAUUGCUUAGAUUGCCAGAUUCUUCAUCUUCAACAAUGUAUUACAUUUUACUGUUUGUGAAUAUGACUUGGUGAUGAAUUCUUUCAGGUGCUGCUUUCUUGCUCACUUUCCCCCACAAAGAACGUUUGUGUUCUUGAACUAGAAGGCAGAAACACAAGCAAGAAAAAAACCCCAGGAUCAUCCGUGAUGACAUUCAAGACAAGGUGUGGAAGCCAUAUCAACCAGAAGAGAAAAGACUUCCACCAUUCAGUGCCUACAGGGAUGCAUGUAGAAAGAUCCUGUGGAUCAUGGAUUAAUGGCAGAGUAUUUUGACAGCUGUUCUUUCCCGUGAAGCAGGAGAAAGUGUAUUGCAACAUCAAGACUGUCAGUUUUGGUUUUGUUUGUUUGGAGUUUUUGUUGGUAUGGGAUUUUGUUUGCCUUCCUCUGAGGUUUUUGCUUGUUUGCUUGUUUUUGUUGUUUGUUUUUUAAUCAAACACCAAAACUAUAAGGAUGGUGCAAAUAGUUUAAAGAGAAACAUCUUAUACAUGGUAUGUUGUCUCAUAAAAAUACAUGUGUUUUUUUGCUUUUCUCUCACAAAAGAUGGGCAAUGUGGUGAUUGUUUUAUCUCUGCAAAAUGCUUAUCUUCUUACCACUGAAAAGAUGUGAGGAGUUCAUGUCAUCGUUCUCCAUGAGAUGAGUUUGAAUUGCUACCCAUUUUAGUUGUUACUUGAGUUAUCUUUGGUCAGCCCUGU